rnacentral:tRNA from 1 species
GGGAGUAUAGCUCAGUUGGUUAGAGCACACCCCUGAUAAGGGUGAGGUCGCUGGUUCGAAUCCAUUUGCUCCCACCA